rnacentral:tRNA from 1 species
GGAGAGAUACCCAUAGCGGCCCAAUGGGGGCCGGGGCCCGUCUCCGGUCAGGGGUGCACGCCCCGCGCAGGUUCGAAUCCUGCUCUCUCCGCC